ensembl:lncRNA
CAAAUCUGGAAACGUCUCACCCUCCCUCUCGCUCGCUCAUAGUAGGAAACAUCCUCACCAUAUCAAAGAGGGUCCUCAGGAAGUUGAUCUCAUCAUUCAGGGCGUCCGCCUUGGCCUGAAGCUCCACCUUGUUCAUGUAGGCAGCGUCCACGUCCUGCGAAAGAAAGAAGCAUAAAGGCCUUAUUCCCCUAGGAACAAACAACAAAUUGCACCUGUAGCAAGAAAGAGUCAGGAGGACCAGGUCUGGUGAUGGGUCAGUCCUUGUCCAAGGCUUGUCUCCACGUGAAGGAGUGAUUCACAACAGAUUGGGAUGGUUUAAGUUCAAUCCUACUCAAAAACUAAAAGUGAAGGAGCUGUCUCUUUUAGGGACCUUUCCAGACUAGGAUGCACCUGGUUCUGUUUUUUGCUUCACCCACCUGAACUUGGCAACUCAGGCAAUGAAAUAAGGAGAUUCCUCCAGCCUAGCUGGCCCCUGUGCCUAGGAGCCACAGAACCCUUCACACACAACCCUCACCUUCUUCAGGGUCACAAAUUCAUUCUCAGCAGCUGUACGUUUAUUGAUUUCAUCCUCGUAUCUGUAAGAGUUAAAAAGAAAUGGGUGAGUUUGGGUUUUGAGGUAGUCAUCAACACUACCAUUCUCUGAAAGUCUGAAAGUUCGUCUCUUCCAUCCUCUGUCCAUCUUCCACCCCUCUUAGAUGAACACAUUCUCUCUGCUGUCUCCCUGGUGGUUAGGAGGACCAACCAUUCCAAUUUGUUCAGGCAGACUGUCCCGGGUUUAGCACUGAAAGUCCUGCUCUCUGGGAAAGCCCUCGGUCCCGGGCAAACAGGGACUGUUGGUCACCAUACCAUGAGUUGGCCCAGCAUCCUUCAGGUCCUAGAACCAGGAUCUUCCCCAACCUGGCUCAGAGGACAUGACUCCUCAACUCUAAACUCAUCCCACUUGCCGUAACUUUAUUUGUAAAGGACUGUCCUUGAGUAGGAAGGGGAAGCUUAUGGACCGAGCUGCCUUCCGUGAAGUAAGGAGAGGGAACUAGGCCCAGUGACACCUCUGCCCAGCAGGCAGGAGAAAUGCAGUCAGGGCUGGGACUCCGAGACAGGUAGCCCAUGGCAUCUUCCCACUCGUGCCUCUGUCACUCACUUCUUCUUGAAGUCCUCCACCAGGUCCUGCAUGUUCCUCAGCUCUGAGUCCAGGCGGCCUCUCUCCCCCAGGAUGCCGUCCAGGUAGCUCCGCUGGGAGUUGAUGUAGGCCUCAAAAAGGGGUUCCAGGUUGUUGGUGCCUGUGGUGGAAUUUGUGCCCUGCUGCUGGAGCAGGUGCCACUUGGUCUCCAGGACCUUGUUCUGUUGCUCCAGGAACCGCACCUGCAAUGCAUUGGGCAAGAAAACAUCAGGCAGCACUCGUAGCAGAGGAGCAGAGGGACCUUGGCCAGGUGGGCGUGGAUGUCUGUAUCUCCCCAUCUCCCGGCACAAAGGCCUUGAAAGAAUGUGGAGAUGAUAGGCUCCCACCGUAGCUGGAGAGGAUACAGUCAGACGGUCGCAUCAGUCAGACCAUUAAAAAUGCAGUAUGGUUUGGAAAAUUACAGAAGGAGGAGAGAUGGCUGGGGAAACUGGAAGCAGCCCCUGCCUGGAAGCAGGAGGUUGUAAAGAUGACAGCUCAGUGUUCUUGGGAAUUUCAUGACUAUCCCAGCUUCCAAAAAUACAGCAUGCUCUGCGAAACUGUGCUGAAAGCUCAGCAGCAGUUUCCAUCUAAGGCCCCACUGAUGCUCAGCCCGUGAAAGGAUGUGGAUCACCAGGAAUCGAUACUGAUUGGAAUGCCAUCCUCGGCAUGGCAGGAGGGAGACAGCGGCGUGAGCUAUCCUGGUCUGGAGGUCACACGCACCCUUCCCUUCCUGACUAGGUUGAUUAAGGGUGCAGACUAAGACUGGCUUCUCUGCAGUCCCUUGGGACUGAGGUUCCAUGUAAGUCUCUUUAAUCCCUUCCCUGGGGUAUCCACCUCCUUUGCCCGGCAAAGCAACAUGGAGGGAACAGGCCUGGUGGAAAGCCUUAGAGGGCAGCUCAAGUUUGAAAAUCCCCGAGUUCUGGAUCAGACUCUUCCCUUCCAGUGGUCAGGGCCCUUGCCAUGCACUGCCAGCUGCCAACCUAGGUCUAGAUAAAGCUGCAAGUGGGAGACAUGAGCAGAGAGUCAGAUGAGCAGGACUUAGGUGUGUCCAGCUCCAAAUAGGGGACCAUUGUCUUUCCUGCUCAUAUGACCAUGUGGACAAGUUCAUCAGCCCUGAACAUCUUCCCAGACCCCAGAGCUCUGCCUGACCCCUCCCACUGCAGCCUGGCCCACCCAAGGUCGGUCCCAAACACUGGGUCUAAAUGUCAAACUCAAAGUCCCAGCCUAGGAGUGGGGACCCACUCAGGGCUUCAUCACCUUGUCGAUGAAGGAGGCGAACUUGUUGUUGAGGGUCUUGAUCUGCUCCCGCUCCUGGGCCUUCACUUGCCCAAUCUGGGGGUCGAUCUCCACAUUGAGGGGCUGCAGGAGGCUCUGGUUGACGGUCACUUCCUGGAUUCCCCCAGGGAAGCCACCAGGCCCAAAGCCACCAGGUCCACCAAAGCCGCCGGGUCCACCAAAGCCACCAGCCCCUCCAAAGCCACCUGCCCCACCAAAGCCACCUGCCCCACCAAAGCCACCAGCUCCACCAAAGCCACCUGCCCCUCCAAAGCCACCAGCUCCUCCAAAGCCACCUCCCAUUCCUCUGCCACCACCAAAGCCACCCCCAAAACCACCUCCAUAGCCGCCCCCAAAGCCACUGCCACAGCUGCCACGCCCUCCCCCAAAGCCACCAGCCCAGGAGCCACCAGCCACGCUGAUGGAGAUGCUUUUGUUGCCACCCAGGUUGUAGAGGCUGCGACUGCCAAAGCCGCCUGCUCCACUCCGGAACCCACAGGCCCCUCCGCCAACUCCCCCAGUGCGGGCCACGUGGCUCAUCCUGCUGCUGCCGGAGACCACGGCGGAGCGGCCGGAGAAGCCCUGGCUCCCGCCUCCAGAUGUCUUGGAGACUUGUCUGCUCAUGAUGCAAAGCACCAGCCCUGAUCAGCCUGCCCUCACUCUCUCUGUUCAUGCAAUGAACAGUUAUUGAGCACUUACUGUUUACCAAGCAUGGUCCUAGGCACCAGGAAUGCAGUAGUGUACAAAACAGAUGAAGUCCCAGCUCUUCUAGAGCUCACCUUCCAGUGGGGGACAGACAUUAAAGAAAUAAAUAUACGUUGUGUCAGACAAUGAAAGAUGCUACGAAAUAAAUGCAGCAGGAAAAGGAGGGUAGACAUGACCAGGGGGGCUAUUUCAUAGAGGGUGGUCCAAGUGGACCUGAGCAGAUACUUGAAUGCAGUGAAGGAGCAAGGCAUGCAGAUAUCUGGGUAAAGGGUGUCCUGAGCAGAGGAAACCACCAGUGCAAAGGCCCUGAGGCAGGCGUCUAAGGAACGUUUGAGGAACAGUGUGGGGCUGGCAUAGCUGAAGCAGAGUGAGGAAGGAGGAGAGGCUUCAGAGCUGAUGGGAGACAGAUCACCCAAGCCUGUAUGACGCUGAAUAAAGCUGGCUUUUUCUCUGAGAGGCGAGGUCAUUGAAGGGUUUCAGCAAAGGGGAGACACGAGUGGACCUUUAAAAGGAUGAGUCCGGCUGCUGUGCGGAGGACAGAUUACAGGGGUCAAGGGACAACAUGCUGAGACCCCCUCCACCUUCCUUACCUCCAGGACAGAAACUUGCCUUCUGGUUUUAAAUGACUCAUUUCCACAUCCCACUGAAAGAAUAAACUGAAGAAACAGUGACCACAAGACGUUACAGAGAAGAUACACAGAAGAAUAGAAGUGAAGGCGAGGCUCACCCUGAACAGGCCUGUAUCUACAUAAGAUUCCUCUGCGUGGCAGGAGCUCUCCACCGUGUUUGCGCUGAUCGUGUUUGUCUGGUGGUUCCUCCUUGAAUCCGAGGCCAUAAAUAGCAGAAAUCACACCUUGUCUCACUGGGAGAUUCCCCCAAAAAAC